rnacentral:rRNA from 1 species
CCUACGGGGGGCAGCAGUGGGGAAUAUUGCACAAUGGGGGAAACCCUGAUGCAGCGACGCCGCGUGAGUGAAGAAGUAUUUCGGUAUGUAAAGCUCUAUCAGCAGGGAAGAAAUAGCGACCUUUGGGUCGCCAGACGGUACCUGACUAAGAAGCCCCGGCUAACUACGUGCCAGCAGCCGCGGUAAUACGUAGGUGGCAAGCGUUAUCCGGAUUUACUGGGUGUAAAGGGCGUGUAGGCGGGGAAGCAAGUCAGAUGUGAAAACCACGGGCUCAACCUGUGGCC